rnacentral:lncRNA from 1 species
AAAUAAAACAUCCACACAAGCAGAUAAUAGUUUGAAAGGUUUUUAAUAGCAGCUUAAACCCUCUUACUAGAUAUCCCCAGCAGAGUUGCCACCUGUCGACGUCGAGAUUUUUAGUCCCUUUUGUGACACCCUCAAAUCCGAGUUAUCUUUAACUCGAAUUUGGUGCUCACGAUACUAGAAUACCCAUUUAUACUAAAAGAAAACUGUCUUAUAUUAUAUACACAUCGUACUUAAAUCCCAGGUUCUAUAGACCUUUACAUACAAUACAAACCAAAUAUUAUUACACAACAUAGUACUAACAAUACUUAUUACAUUCACUACUUAAGUUCACUUAAGCACAUGUGCUUAAUAAAUGACUACUCAAACAACUUUGCCUUUUCCUUUGUCUUUUCCAGAUGGACCAGCAACCUCAAUUUUAACUGAAAACAUUAUAUUUAAUGCAAGGGUGAGCAACAGCUUGCUCAGCAAGGAAAUAAGCAAUUAAUUAUAAUGGAACAGAAAUAUUUAUAUCAAAGAGGUUACAAUGCAAUAGAUACUGAACAAUAUAAUUCUUUAAGAGUGUUGAGUAUAAAAAUCAAACUUUAGCAUGCUGUAAGGUCAAAUUACCAAUGAACUAUGUACUAUAAUUAACAGUAAUAAUACUGCAAUCCAUGAAUACAAACAGUUAUAAAAGUUAUUUUAUAUCCUAGACUCGUACUUUAGGGGAUCAGCCUAAGUACCCUAUAUUGUGCACAACAUAACAGUCUAAUGACACUUUUCAUGUCCUUCGGAAUCAUAUGUCUGGUACAAUAUGCCCCUAUAAAAGAGUUGUUCGUUCACAGCAUUAUACAAGAGUCCGCACCACAACAAAGAUGGUUUGGAGAACAUUAAAUGAGAGUUUCAUGAAUAAUAUCAAUGUAUCUCAACAAUUGUCUACCCGAAUUAAUGGCAUUGACAUACAUUCAAUAUGACUUAUGUAAGAGAGAAGUUCAAUAUACUAUUCUUUAGAAGCUGAUUAAAAUAAAAAGGCUAAUUAACCUUAUAUUAUCCAUAAAUAGGGAGAGACAGUUCAGAAAUUAGAAAACCUGUCUAUUUGUAGAAUACUUGCUCAAUAAAGAGAAAGAGUUAGAAACUUGUCUAGUUUGUAGACUAUUGAUAAGAUUCAGCUUAAUAUGUUCUCACAGAGCCUAUACAAUUUAUUUGCAUUUACAAGCCUAUUAGCCAAAUAGCCAAGUCAUAUAGCUUGUAUAUGUUUACACAUUACAUAAUUUAGUGGUUAAGUUUGUAGUUAGAUUCCUAUAUUUCAUACAUUUUUCAAAUAUCUCAUCCAUGUUUUCACAUUAGUCAAUUUUCUCUUUAAUAGGGUUCGACAUACUUACAACAAGUAAUAGGAAUUACAUUACAGUUAUUAUUUGCAUUAAUCAAGCAUGUUAGCCACAUAGUCAAGUCAUAUAUCACGUAGUUUCAAUGGUCAUGGAUAGAUUCCUUAUAUGUAAUACAUUUUUCAAAUAUCUCAUCCAUGCUCUUAUCAUCACCAUUUUUCUCUUUAAUGGUGUCACACCCAACCUAUAUAAUGCUUAUAUCUCAUUAGGAUUUUAACACGAGUGUUUUAAUUCUAGCAUACAAAAUGCUUUUGUAGCUUAUUUCAUGUUUUUAAAGGUAUUUCCAAUUUACAUGCUUGACUGUUGUUUAUCCCAUGAUUUAUAGCUUUCAUUUCCAUACUAAUGUAUUAGCUAUCUUUGUCUUUCCAUAUCAUAUUAAAACAGCCAUUUGAGGCUUUAUUAGACUCAUUUUGAUGUAAUAGAUUCAACCUAAAGCACCCAUUCAUGUUAGUUCUAUAAGUUAUAUAUAUAUAUAUAUAUAGAUAUUAUCACUGACUAUUCAACUGCAAUAGCAGUUUCUUGGUAGUGUCCUGCUACUGCCUUUAGGCAGUAGCUCCACCUCCUUCUCCUUUACCUGCCUAGAUGAACUAUAGCUUGGUUGUAUGACUUACACAAUUGUUUAUUUAGAAUUUGUACACGAUGGGUAAGCUUUUUGAUCACACCACAAAGCCAAAAAGUGGCUUUUUAAAACUGCCAUAGCAGUUGCCUGCUGUGGCCUGCUGCUGCCUAUAGGCAGUGGCUCCUCUCCCUUUACCAACUUCCUUAUACAUUACCAAGAACCUAUAUUACUUCAUGAGACUAACAGUUUUUUUUUAAGUUUUCAAUAAGGAACUUCCAUGUAGCUUAAUUGGGUUCAUUUUCAAUUGAGUUUGACAAGCUUGACACUGCCUUAGCAGUUAGCUAAGGCCUCCUAUUAUUGUUGACUGCUAGCAGUCCCAUGGUUCCCCUUUUUAUCAUAUUUUCACUCUCGAGUUAGUUAUAAGUUUUCAUGAUGUAUAUCAUUCACAUAACUUCACCCUUUUGGAUAAUUUAAGAUCAUUCAUAGGAGGAGGUUAACUGUUUGCUGGUAUGGGUAACAGUUACUGUCCUUGGACAGCAACUUGUUCCCAUAAUCUUCAAACUGAGCUACUUCUUAGCUUACUAAUAGUCUAACAAGAUGAAAGCCAGUAAGGCCACUCAGUUGCUAAGAUGGUACUGCAGCUUCUUAUUGCAUCAUAUGGUUUUUAAGUUACCUAGCCCAAAUGAAAGCCAGCAAGGUUACUCUGCUACUGCUGCUGCCAUAGACAGCAGUCCUGAGCUUAACAUGGCCAUGUCCUUUCCUAAACUUCUAGUACACUAUAGGCAAAAUGACUGCAAAACAAUAGCAUACAAGUUAUUCAAGAUGUGCAAGGCACUGCUAUGCCCAGAUGAUUGUUUGGCCCUGCAGCAGGCCCGGUAAGCCCAGUCAGUCCAUAGCUUCAGUUUUGCUAAGAUUUUUAUCUGUUUUGUGGCAACCACUGCUGUCAUGGACAGCAGUUCUUAAGACCUCAACCCAGCCCUCAACUUGUUAUAUUUUGUAAGCUUUGCAACAAAAGUUAAUCUUUAUCCUAACAGUAGUAUAAUCGAAGUAUAUCAUCAACCUACUAUCAAUCAUGCCAAGAUCCUAAUCUGAACCUUCACAGCAGCCUUAAAACAGUGUGCACAAGGACUUGGGAUGAUAACUAGCUAAGAUUUGUUUUUCACUACCAUUUAGUGUGCUUAUGCAUUUCAUUUUUUUUUUAUUACUUGAAAUACAAAAUCAAUUUCUAGCCAUAUGUUGGCUUAAUAAUUGAUUUUUUUGUUAAGGCAGUCCAAUUGGGACUUUCGUCGAGCAGGUGGUGUGCACUGUUUCAAUUUAUUAGUGCCAUAGAUAUUUGCUUGCCCUAUGAUUCCAUUAAGUCACCUUAUAACACCACAGCCAACCUAUCUCCUUGUGCCUAGACCAAGUAUUAACAAAAUUUAGCAGAGUUGGUAAUGUCAGUCAGCUACAGCACAGCCAUAGUAUGGCAGUCACUUAGGCCUUUAGCAGUAGCAUGACUCAAAACAGAAAACAGCUCCUCAAUCUCUAAAUCACAAGGGUUAUAUAAUUAUGUACUGGUUAUAUACUCUAUAUUCAUAAUUUUUAAAAAAAACUUGCAUACAAGGUAUCAUUAUUUCCAAAAUAGGCUUCCAAAGCAUUUUGUCAAAAACUAACCAUUUCAGUCCAAAGUAGUAAAGCACAGCAUACCAGUCCGUCUUAUUGCACUAACAGUCAGUAUAGCACAAGGAUGUUGCUAACAGCCAGUCAACAUAGCAACAUAGCAUAGUAGUCAUUUACAUAGCAAUAUAGCAUAGCAGUCAUUUAACAUAGCAAUAUGGCAUAGCAGUCAUUUACAUAGCAAUAUAGCAUAGCAGUCAUUGUGGCACACCACAGUUAAUAUAGCAAUUUUAAAGUCCAGGAUAGUCCUUUAUGCCUAUUUCAAGCCCUUUUUGCAAGGCAUGAUACUAUGCUACCAAAAUAGUCUUCAAGCUUCUAGCACAAGGAUUAUCACAUCAUACACAUGCUAUAUAACAUAUGUUCAUGAUUAAAAGGACCUAAGUGUAAGGCUUCUAGUUUUGGUUUAAAACAGCCCUUCAUAGGCUUCAACUUGAUACAAGGUAGCAUGAUUAGGCAUUAAGGAAACAAGGACUGUCUAUGUACAUAAUAUAUUAAAAGCAAAGCAUGCCCACUAUAAGAAACUUUCAAUAACAGUCACAAGGACCGACUUUUAUUUAUUAAAAACUAACAUACUUAAACUUCACAAGCAUUAGUAUUAGUGGGUUGAAAUUAUAGACUUCAUGUUAUAGGGUAUUAACCAUAUUAGAAGCAAGGGAUAGACAUUGCAAGUUAAGCUUCAAAUAGCAAAAAAUAUGGAGCUCAUUAUCCCAGUCCAUUUUACUUGCUUUGCUCAAGAGUUAAUCUACCUUAGACAUUCUAAGCAUGGCAUUCGAAUAACAUGUUAUAACCAUUUCAAGCUAAGGCAAAACUGACUUUUAAGUAUCUUUACACUCAUAGAAUUACAAUGUAACAAUAUGAGCAUAGGAUUUUGCUUGACUGCACUCCCUUUUUAGGACAGUUGAUACCAACAGUUUCUCACAAGCAUUUCAUCAAACAGUUGGGGGUGCAGUCUCUAAUUUCCCAGGUUAAUCACAAGUAUAGGCAGGGCUGCUACUAAUAGUUGUAUAAUAUACUAUAAUUAACAAUCAUAAGCAGCCACAACAAAGAAACAAUAGUAUGCUAACCAAAUUAAUCCUAACAGUCAACCUAGUCAUUUAAAAAAAAUAGCACAACUGGCCCUUGUGUCUAUUCCAGGCCAUUCGGCCAAAACAGAGCACUAGUGCACGAAAUGGAAUGGAAAGAGGAUUGAAAAGAGUUAGAAGUAGCUUACCUUUCUGCUGCAAUGACUUCAGAUGAGUUGAGUGGCCUAAUUCCUCCUCCUAUAGCCGAAGCUUUUCCCCUCUUACUCUUAGUCGGUUAUCUGUCUUACUGUGCUGGUCUUGGGGAGUCAGUUAAGUAGGGGAACUUGGGGUUAUAUAACUGAGCUUGGAGUGCCUUUUAUGGUUGAACCUUCCACUCUCAGUCAUACCAAGCUAGCCCCUAUCCGUCCCCUACUCAGCCACUCUAACACUGAGUGUAAUCGGUACUAGUCUAGAUUAUUUGGCUUCUACCCAGCCACCCUAGGUUGUCUGCUACACCUUAUCUUCUGCAAGUUUGCUGACCUGCUUUUGUCUACUAACUAAACUAACUACUUGCUAAGAACUAACUUGGAAUCUGUAUACUUGUUGAUCAACUGGCUAUUGUAACUAUCUCAGCUAACUACCUUCCUAUUUGGGCUGUUAAAUGAAGCUUAAGGAAGGCUGGC